GGCCCGUUGGUCUAGUGGUUAAGACAGUUGACUGGCACACGCUUCUGAUCACGGGUUCGAACCCCGUACGGGCCA
rnacentral:tRNA from 1 species